rnacentral:rRNA from 1 species
AUUGAACGCUGGCGGCAGGCCUAACACAUGCAAGUCGAACGGUAACAGGGAUCAGCUUGCUGAUUCGCUGACGAGUGGCGGACGGGUGAGUAAUGUCUGGGAAACUGCCUGAUGGAGGGGGAUAACUACUGGAAACGGUAGCUAAUACCGCAUAACGUCGCAAGACCAAAGAGGGGGACCUUCGGGCCUCUUGCCAUCGGAUGUGCCCAGAUGGGAUUAGCUAGUAGGUGGGGUAACGGCUCACCUAGGCGACGAUCCCUAGCUGGUCUGAGAGGAUGACCAACCACACUGGAACUGAGACACGGUCCAGACUCCUACGGGAGGCAGCAGUGGGGAAUAUUGCACAAUGGGCGCAAGCCUGAUGCAGCCAUGCCGCGUGUAUGAAGAAGGCCUUCGGGUUGUAAAGUACUUUCAGCGGGGAGGAAGGGAGUAAAGUUAAUACCUUUGCUCAUUGACGUUACCCGCAGAAGAAGCACCGGCUAACUCCGUG